UGAAAUGCGAAAAGUAAUGCGAUUUGCAUGAAUCUGUGAGUCAUCAAGUCUUUGAACGCACCUUGCACCGUAUGAGCAAUUGUACGGUAUACCUGUUUGAGAAUCGUAAAACACUCUUUCCACCAGUUGGUGGGAGACUUGUCGGUUGUGCUGUCCUUCACUGGGCGGUACUCUGAUCAAAAGUAGUAGGUCUGGAUCAGGCUAGUGGCCUGGGACACUGUGUGCUAGAGACGUCGCUUCGGCUGACUGUCUUCUCACGGUGCGUCCCGGGCUAUCCAAAGCUGGCUUGGUCGGUAAGGCCUUUACAGUGUCUUUGGCUCCGUCAAACGGGCCGGGUCACAACCCCCCUUUUUGAUCUCAAAUCAGGUAAGGCUACCCGCUGAACUUAA
rnacentral:misc_RNA from 1 species